rnacentral:rRNA from 1 species
AUGAACGCUGGCGGCGUGCCUAAUACAUGCAAGUCGCGCGCACAGACGAGGAGCUUGCUCCUCUGACGUUAGCGGCGGACGGGUGAGUAACACGUGGAUAACCUACCUAUAAGACUGGGAUAACUUCGGGAAACCGGAGCUAAUACCGGAUAAUAUAUUGAACCGCAUGGUUCAAUAGUGAAAGACGGUUUUGCUGUCACUUAUAGAUGGAUCCGCGCCGCAUUAGCUAGUUGGUAAGGUAACGGCUUACCAAGGCGACGAUGCGUAGCCGACCUGAGAGGGUGAUCGGCCACACUGGAACUGAGACACGGUCCAGACUCCUACGGGAGGCAGCAGUAGGGAAUCUUCCGCAAUGGGCGAAAGCCUGACGGAGCAACGCCGCGUGAGUGAUGAAGGUCUUCGGAUCGUAAAACUCUGUUAUUAGGGAAGAACAAAUGUGUAAGUAACUAUGCACGUCUUGACGGUACCUAAUCAGAAAGCCACGGCUAACUACGUG